rnacentral:rRNA from 1 species
GAUGAACGCUGGCGGCGUGCCUAAUACAUGCAAGUCGAGCGAACAGAUAAGGAGCUUGCUCCUUUGACGUUAGCGGCGGACGGGUGAGUAACACGUGGGUAACCUACCUAUAAGACUGGAAUAACUCCGGGAAACCGGGGCUAAUGCAGGAUAACAUGUUGAACCGCAUGGUUCUACAGUGAAAGGCGGCUUUGCUGUCACUUAUAGAUGGACCCGCGCCGUAUUAGCUAGUUGGUGAGGUAACGGCUCACCAAGGCAACGAUACGUAGCCGACCUGAGAGGGUGAUCGGCCACACUGGAACUGAGACACGGUCCAGACUCCUACGGGAGGCAGCAGUAGGGAAUCUUCCGCAAUGGGCGAAAGCCUGACGGAGCAACGCCGCGUGAGUGAUGAAGGUCUUCGGAUCGUAAAACUCUGUUAUUAGGGAUGAACAAAUGCGUAAGUAACUGUGCGCGUCUUGACGGUACCUAAUCAGAAAGCCACGGCUAACUACGUG